rnacentral:lncRNA from 1 species
GCCCCGCCCCCGCCAGCCCUGGCCCCGCCCCGCCCUGGCCCUGGCCCUGGGCCAGUAGCUUCCGUCCGCACCACCCUGCGGGAGGAGCGGCUGCGAAACCUUUUUCGCAAAAGCCCGGUCUUUUCGCGUCGCCGGCGCCCGCCUUGUGAUCUGAGUUAUUGCAAGUGGCGGCUGCCGGCCCCGUCUAGUAGGGCUGGGCCUUGGAGAACAUCCCAGAUAGUCACGAGGCGGGCGGGGGCUGCGGUGCCCUGCUCGGUGGCAUUCCGUCGCCGGUUGCUCUAUGCCCUGGCCUCGUGUUUACAAAUAAGGGAAACUGGAGCCCCAGAGGUGUCAGUAUCCUCCAGGCAAACAGCCUUGCCCCACAGGGCAGAGAAAGAGAGUUACCUCUGUGACUCCUGGAAUGACCAGACCAAAAUCCUGCUUUGGGAUCUCAGAUCGUCAAAAGAGAGCUUCGAAAUCCCAAAACGGAGCAACGGCCAAGACCUUUGCCAACAGGAAUGUUGCUAAUUAGAUUUUCCUAAGGCACCUGAAGUGCACAGCCACAGCUCCCACCUCCAUCAUCUAUCAAAUCAGCUAAGAUUGGUUUCCUGGUCAGUGAAAGACAGCUCCUCUGGGCCUUAGCACAAGCUCUUUCCUCUCUCAGGAAUGUCUUCUCCCAGGUGCCCACAUGGACAGCUCAUGAAGGAGGCAUCACGUGUUUGUGCUAAUGCCACCCCAGAAAGGUAGUCUUUGACCAUCGUGUACAAAAAAAGCAGUACUCUCACCUCCAGAAUUCUUACCCUCCCUGUCCUGCUGUAUCUUUCUCCUUAGCAUAAUUUAUCACCGUCUGACAAACUAGAUAUUUUACUUAUUUAUUGUCUAUCUCCCCUCUAGGCUAAGAUACAAGCUAAAUGAAAGUAGAGAUGUUUGAAUUGUUUGCUACUAUGUCCUCAGGACCAAGAACAGUGUCUGCCUUAUAGUAGAUGCCCAGUAAAUAUUUGUUGAAUGUAUGAAUGAGGCCAAUUUCAGUGAGGGCCCAACUACCUUCAAGCAGGAUAGCCCUGCUAGAGGGAAUAUAAACUCUUGGAUCAGUCCUAUGUGUAGGCUCUGUGGGCUUCUGACCAACCGGUUCCCCAUCCAAAGCAUCCCUCCUUCCCAUCUUCUCUCCAUACCCUUUUGCUCACUCUUUAAAGAUUUUUGGAGAUGUUCAACUGAGUUGUCUUUAUGUAACUGGAGAGGGCACUAGAUUCUCCAGCUCACUCAUUAGCUCCAGUUAGUUGAUCCGAUUAAUCUUUUACUGCUUACGGCUGCUACAAAAGUAGCCUGGGGUUCCUUUAAGGAGGUGCUGUCAGAGGUCUACAACAGUUCCAUUAUACAAAGAAAAUUAUGUGGGUACCCACAAGGUCAACCACAAAUUAUCUUUUCUUCCAGUCCAAUCAUCCUUCUUUGCCUUUGAGUUGGACAAGAAGGGAGGACAAU